UCUGCAUGUGAUGACGUACAUACCGCCCCAGUCUGAUUACUGAUGGAUUGGUAUUUCUGAUGCACU